rnacentral:misc_RNA from 1 species
ACCUGCUUGAACUUCAACAAGACCAAAUAUAACCUAACAAUCCACAUCUACAAGAUCCAAAAAUCUUUCCCCCUAAAUCACGAUGCCCACAAUCAAAACCAUCCAAUUUCAAUCAUCAUCAUCAUCAUCUUCUUCCUCUUCCUCUUCCACCUCCUGUUCCUCUUCUUCUUCCUCUCCAGUAGCCUCAUCAUCUUCAUCAUUCACUUCAGAUUUUGACCUGUCUGACUCUGCAUCACCAUCAUCAGCUGUACUCUCCUGCUUCCUGUUGUAUGCGUUCAUAAGUUUC